GCCAGCGUGGUGUAGUGACAUGUACAUGGCAAGGUUUCAAGAGCCAAGAUGUCGCUAGUUCAAUUCCAGCCGCCGGCA